rnacentral:rRNA from 1 species
GUGGGGAAUAUUGGACAAUGGGGGGAACCCUGAUCCAGCCAUGCCGCGUGUGUGAAGAAGGCCUUUUGGUUGUAAAGCACUUUAAGCGAGGAGGAGGCUACCGAGAUUAAUACUCUUGGAUAGUGGACGUUACCCACAGAAUAAGCACCGGCUAACUCUGUGCCAGCAGCCGCGGUAAUACAGAGGGUGCAAGCGUUAAUCGGAUUUACUGGGCGUAAAGCGCGCGUAGGUGGCCAAUUAAGUCAAAUGUGAAAUCCCCGAGCUUAACUUGGGAAUUGCAUUCGAUACUGGUUGGCUAGAGUAUGGGAGAGGAUGGUAGAAUUCCAGGUGUAGCGGUGAAAUGCGUAGAGAUCUGGAGGAAUACCGAUGGCGAAGGCAGCCAUCUGGCCUAAUACUGACACUGAGGUGCGAAAGCAUGGGGAGCAAACAGGAUUAGAAACCCGAGUAGUCC